UACGUAGGGACCAAGCGUUGUUCGGAUUUACUGGGCGUAAAGGGCGCGUAGGCGGCUUUUUAAGUCAGGGGUGAAAUCCUGGAGCUCAACUCCAGAACUGCCUUUGAUACUGGGUAUCUCGAGUAUGGAAGAGGUGAGUGGAAUUCCGAGUGUAGAGGUGAAAUUCGUAGAUAUUCGGAGGAACACCAGUGGCGAAGGCGGCUCACUGGUCCAUUACUGACGCUGAGGUGCGAAAGCGUGGGGAGCAAACAGGG
rnacentral:rRNA from 1 species